rnacentral:misc_RNA from 1 species
CUAGAGCAAAGGAUAGACACUACCCCACUUUGGUAGGGUUUAGAGUCGUCGAACCUCUCGGAGAAGUUUGGUCCUGAACUCCACCCUUGAAUAAAUUACCUUUGUUGCUUUGGCGGGCCGCCUCGCGCCAGCGGCUUCGGCUGUUGAGUGCCCGCCAGAGGACCACAACUCUUGUUUUUAGUGAUGUCUGAGUACUAUAUAAUAGUUA